rnacentral:rRNA from 1 species
GUGCAGCAGUUGCGAAAACUUGUCACUGCACAAAUGUGUGAACGGGCUACCCCGCGUGCCGUCCGCUGAGGAUGGCUUUUCUCUGCUGUAAGAAGGCAGAGGAAUAAGGAGAGGGCAAGUCUGGUGUCAGCCGCCGCGGUAAUACCAGCUCUCCGCGUGGUAGGGAUGAUUAUUGGGCAUAAAGCGUCCGUAGCUGGCCUUUCAAGUCUCUUGUUAAAUCCAGCGAUUCAAUCGUUGGACUGCGGGAGAUACUGUUAGGCUAGGGGACGGGAGAAGCCGACGGUAUUUCCGGGGUAGGGGUAAAAUCCUAUAAUCCCGGAAAGACCACCAGUGGCGAAGGCUGUCGGCUAGAACGCGCCCGACGGUGAGGGAUGAAAGCUGGGGGAGCGAACCGGAUUAGAUACCCGGGUAGUCC